rnacentral:rRNA from 1 species
UACGUAGGGUGCGAGCGUUAAUCGGAAUUACUGGGCGUAAAGCGUGCGCAGGCGGUCUGUUAAGACCGAUGUGAAAUCCCCCGGGCUUAACCUGGGGAACUGCAUUGGUGACUGGCAGGCUUUGAGUGUGGCAGAGGGGGGUAGGAAUUCCACGUGUAGCAGUGAAAUGCGUAGAGAUGUGGAGGAAUACCGAUGGCGAAGGCAGCCCCCUGGGCCAACACUGACGCUCAUGCACGAAAGCGUGGGGGAGCAAACAGG